rnacentral:rRNA from 1 species
AUUGAACGCUGGCGGCAGGCCUAACACAUGCAAGUCGAGCGCGAAAACACUUCGGUGUGAGUAGAGCGGCGGACGGGUGAGUAAUGCUUGGGAAUCUGCCCAGUAGUGGGGGAUAACGUGUGGAAACGCACGCUAAUACCGCAUACGUCCUACGGGAGAAAGCAGGGGAUCUUCGGACCUUGCGCUAUUGGAUGAGCCCAAGUCGGAUUAGCUAGUUGGUGGGGUAAUGGCCUACCAAGGCGACGAUCCGUAGCUGGUCUGAGAGGAUGAUCAGCCACACUGGGACUGAGACACGGCCCAGACUCCUACGGGAGGCAGCAGUGGGGAAUAUUGCACAAUGGGCGAAAGCCUGAUGCAGCCAUGCCGCGUGUGUGAAGAAGGCUCUAGGGUUGUAAAGCACUUUCAGUAGGGAGGAAAAGCUUGAGGUUAAUAACCUUGAGCCCUGACGUUACCUACAGAAGAAGCACCGGCAAACUCCGUGCCAGCAGCCGCGGUAAUACGGAGGGUGCGAGCGUUAAUCGGAAUUACUGGGCGUAAAGCGCGCGUAGGUGGUUUGAUAAGCUAGCUGUGAAAGCCCCGGGCUCAACCUGGGAACUGCAGUUAGAACUGUCUGACUAGAGUACAGUAGAGGGUGGCGGAAUUUCCUGUGUAGCGGUGAAAUGCGUAGAUAUAGGAAGGAACAUCAGUGGCGAAGGCGGCCACCUGGACUGAUACUGA